rnacentral:rRNA from 1 species
UGGGGAAUAUUGGACAAUGGGCGCAAGCCUGAUCCAGCCAUGCCGCGUGAGUGAUGAAGGCCCUAGGGUUGUAAAGCUCUUUCACCGGUGAAGAUAAUGACGGUAACCGGAGAAGAAGCCCCGGCGAACUUCGUGCCAGCAGCCGCGGUAAUACGAAGGGGGCUAGCGUUGUUCGGAUUUACUGGGUGUAAAGCGCACGUAGGCGGACUUUUAAGUCAGGGGUGAAAUCCCGGGGCUCAACCCCGGAACUGCCUUUGAUACUGGAAGUCUUGAGUAUGGUAGAGGUGAGUGGAAUUCCGAGUGUAGAGGUGAAAUUCGUAGAUAUUCGGAGGAACACCAGUGGCGAAGGCGGCUCACUGGACCAUUACUGACGCUGAGGUGCGAAAGCGUGGGGAGCAAACAGG